CCGCUUCCACGCCACCGUCGCUUUCCACCCACCCGACACGCCCAACACAACCGAAGAAGGAUAUCCUCCCCCUUCUCGCUCUCUCUCUCUCUCUCUCUCUCUCUCUCUCUCUCUCUGUCUCUCUGGGGAUCCAAUGGAACCCCCACUCGGUGAAUCUUUCGGAAGGGGUUUGUUGUUGGUCAAUCGAAUCGGAGAACCCAAUCCAGAAUGAACUCAUCAGGUUUCCACAGUAGAGUGUUGCAUCAGAUGAUCUGAUCCUCCUGAAUAGCUGAAGGUUCUAAUGCUACUUAAAGAUUCUUCCGACGGCCACAGCAACUACUGCAGGAAACAAAGUUUGUUUUGUGAGUGACGAAGAAGAUUUACGGAGAGCUUCACUGCUGCUGCUAAAAGGGAGUUUGUUAUAUAAUCUGAUAAGAGUUACACUUAGAAAGAACACACACAUUCAUUCGACCCUUGCGAGGAUGUUAAUAAUCGGCAACCGUUCUAAAAGCAUUUACAAGGAGAGGCACAUUCCUACAUUCCUCAGCAUGCUUUCCUUGAGACGAGGUUACAGUUAAGUUGCCAGCGAUCAAUAUCUUGCGAAAGAGACUGCAAUUUUCCACACACCAAAUGGCAUAUGGAAUCUAUGUGUCAUCAUCGUCACCAUGUCCAACCAAACGGUCGCCAUCAGAACCUUCUCUACCUCCACCGGCAGUCACGUCAUCGCCACGGUACUUAUCUGCUUGCUGGUUCCCACCGUACUGCCGCCGGUUUCCCCAUCCCAUGGAUUGCUGGUGCGGGAAUUGGUGCUCGCCCUCUUCUGCCAACAAAAAGAGAGGGCAUGUUAGCCUCCGUCGCCCAGUUGCAAGGAUCUAAAAGAAUCCAGAGUAUAUAACUUGACUUCUUAAUUGAGCUUAUCAAAAGUUGCCAAUUAGCAAACAAACAGAAACCAAAGGACGCCCGGUUCUACAGGAAAGGAAAGAAAGACACCAUGGUGGAAUUCUCUUGAUUUGGUAAUUGCUGCGGCGGAGGCAAAAAGACAGACAUCGGUAAGCAGUGAUUACCAACCAGCCUAUUAUAUUGAGCGGAUAACAGAUUCAACUGGUUCUGCUUUGUCACAUGCAAAGCUUUGAUGACACAUGGGGAAUAUUAUAGAUGGAGAAGAGACUUUUUAGAAUCGGAGGAUCUCAUGCACGACAUGAAUGGAGAAUCGAGCUACAUGUAUUUACCACUCUCACCAUCAGAUGCAUCAGCAAGCAUUGCAAUAGCAUCGAUCAGUGAUUGUUCAUGCUCCUGCAAAGAUGGGGCACCUCAAUGUUAUUUCAGACAAACACAUUGAUGCUGAAUAAAGGAGCGAGGUGGCAUGUUUUCCCUACUUUCAACAACUUCUUGGCCUUCUCGAUCUCGAGCGGGUCAGGAUGGCUCGCACCGAAAACCUUCUCCACCUGAUUGAAGCAGGAAAGAGAUGAGAGAAAAAUAUGCUGUCAAAUGACACGGCAGUUGACAAUGUUCCAUGAAUAUCCUGUCAGAUGAUAGAACAGUUGACAAUAUGUUCCAUGAAUUCGUAAAAUACAUACUUCCUUUAUAA